rnacentral:rRNA from 1 species
CUGACGCUGAGUCUCGAAAGCGUAGGGAGCAAACAGGAUUAGAUACCCUGGUAGUCUACGCUGUAAACGAUGCACACUUGGUGUUAAUCGAAAGGUUAGUACCGAAGCUAACGUGUUAAGUGUGCCGCCUGGGGAGUAUGUUCGCAAGAAUGAAACUCAAAGGAAUUGACGGGGGCCCGCACAAGCGGUGGAGCAUGUGGUUUAAUUCGAUGAUACGCGAGGAACCUUACCAGGGCUUGACAUAUACAGGAUAUAGUUAGAGAUAACUAUUCCCCGUUUGGGGUCUGUAUACAGGUGCUGCAUGGUUGUCGUCAGCUCGUGCCGUGAGGUGUUGGGUUAAGUCCCGCAACGAGCGCAACCCUUGUUGUCUGUUACCAGCAUGUAAAGAUGGGGACUCAGACGAGACUGCCGGUGAUAAGCCGGAGGAAGGUGAGGAUGACGUCAAAUCAUCAUGGCCCUUAUGUCCUGGGCUACACACGUGCUACAAUGGCCUGUACAAAGCGAUGCGAAACAGUGAUGUGAAGCAAAACGCAGAAAGCAGGUCUCAGUCCAGAUUGAAGUCUGAAACUCGACUUCAUG